rnacentral:rRNA from 1 species
UACAGAGGUCCCAAGCGUUGUUCGGAUUCACUGGGCGUAAAGGGUGCGUAGGCGGUCGGGUAAGUCUGAUGUGAAAUCUCACAGCUUAACUGUGAAACUGCAUUGGAUACUAUCCGGCUCGAGGAAUGGAGGGGAGACUGGAAUACUUGGUGUAGCAGUGAAAUGCGUAGAUAUCAAGUGGAACACCAGUGGCGAAGGCGGCAUCCUGGACCGGCAUUGACGCUGAGGAGCGAAAGCUAGGGGAGCAAACGGG